UACGUAGGGGGCUAGCGUUGUUCGGAUUUAUUGGGCGUAAAGAGCGUGUAGGCGGUCAAGUAGGUCCGGUGUGAAAACUCGAGGCUUAACCUCGAGAUGUCAUCGGAAACCAUUUGGCUAGAGUCCGGAAGAGGAAAGUGGAAUUCCUGGUGUAGCGGUGAAAUGCGUAGAGAUCGGGAAGAACAUCGGUGGCGAAAGCGCUCUACUGGACCGCAACUGACACUCAGGGACGAAAGCUAGGGGAGCGAAUGGG
rnacentral:rRNA from 1 species